AGACAUUGACGGCAAAAGAUUGUACAAAAAUAGAAAAGUUAAAGUUAUCACUCUACACGACAAAACAGUGUUUGGAGCAAUUCAGUAUAUCAAAUCGUUUAGAGAUAAAGCAAAGCAUAUAAUGUUCCAAAUCGGCUCCAAUGAUAUAGAACAGAAAAACCCGGACGAGGUUAUCGAAGAAAUAGAAGAACUAGUCAGAGUGACAAAACGAUAUAAC
rnacentral:lncRNA from 1 species